UGGGGGGUACUGGGGGAUACUGGGAUGGGAUACUGGGAGAUAUUGGGAGAUACUGGGGGAUACUGGGGAUAUUGGGGUGGGAUACUGGGAGAUAUUGAGGGUACUGGGGGAUACUGGAAGAUAUUGGGGGAUACUGGGAGAUACUGGGGUGGGAUACUGGGAGAUAUUGGGAGAUAUUGAGAGAUACUGGGGUGGGAUACUGGGAGAUAAUGGGGGAUACUGGGGGAUACUGGGAGAUACUGGGAGAUAAUGAGGGAUACUGGGGGAUACUGGGGGAUAUUGGGGGAUAGUGGGGGAUACUGGAAGAUAUUGGAGGAUACUGGGAGAUAUGGGGGUGGGAUACUGGGGGGUACUGGGCAGGAUAUGGGGGAUCACUUGGGGACCGCCUGCCCCACACUUAUGGGGUUCACCGUGAGCCCACUGGGGUCAAUUGGAGAUCUUCUGCCCCACAUCUGUGGGGUUCCAUGUGGGCUCAUAGGGGUCACCUGGGGACCUUCUGCCCCACACUUAUGGGGAUUGCUGUGGGUUCGUGGGGGUCUGUUGGAGAUGUUCUGCCCCACAUUUAUGGGGUUUCCCAGGGUUUAUGGGGGUCACUUGGAGAGCUGCUGCCCCACACUUAUGGGGUUCCCUAUGGGCUCACGGGGGUCACCUGGGGACCUUCUGCCCCACACUUAUGGGGAUUGCUGUGGGUUCGUGGGGGUCUGUUGGAGAUGCUCUGCCCCACAUUUAUGGGGUUUGCCAUGGGUUUAUGGGGGUCACUUGGAG
rnacentral:lncRNA from 1 species